rnacentral:lncRNA from 1 species
AUGGGUUCAUCACUGAUACCAGCAAAGAAGUACGUUUUGCUCUUGGUGGACACGCGGGCAUUGCUGGUGCUCAAAGGCUUAUCCCCAUUCAGCUUCAUGUUUGGUCCAGUCGGACGAAAGUCAAGUGCCAGGCAUACAUCUGGAGACUUGGAGCUUGUUGGGGUGGGGGGGGUGUUGGGCCUCAACUGGGGGCGCUGGAUGAACAGUGUGGGGAGAACAGGAGAACUGUCUGCAGGAAUGACGGUGAGCCUGAUCGGGUCUCCAAAUAUAAGUACGUAGACACGGCGAAAAACAGCCGUACAAAAACUGUUGAAUUGUUUUUCUAUGGCAGCGUGCAGCAGAAAGUGAGUGUGGUUUGAGGUUUCCUCAAAGCGAACCUUAUCUGAUGGAGGGGUUGGGGAGGGGGAUUUUCUGGAAGGUGACGUCAAGAAUGAG